GGGCAAGAUGGUGAUUGUGAAUCUUCAGAAAACUCCAAAGGACAAGAAUGCAAGUUUGGUGAUCCAUGGAUUUGUAGAUAAGGUUAUUGCAGGAGUCAUGGAUUUUCUUAGCAUACGAAUUCCUCCAUAUGUCAGGAUUGAUCUUUUCCAGAUCAUCAUAACUCGGUCAUUAAGUGCAGAUAAAAAAUUUGUGAACUGGACCCUCCAAGUAGCAAGUGUGCAUGCACUGAAAGCACCAUUGCCAUUCUUAAAGUCCAUUGAGGUUUCCUUCUCAGAUGCUCAAAAGUAUAAAGCAGCAAUUCUACAUGAGCAGCCUUUUAACCUGAAACGGAGAACUGUGACAACAGAAGCAUUUGAAAUUUUGUUGAAACUCAACUUCAGUGAUGGCUGUGGUUGCCUGUGCACCCAAAUCAAUAUCCCUUUUGGUUUUAAGGGUUUAAAUGGCUGUUGCAACCUUGAUAAGGACACUGUAAUACAAGAUCUGAGAGAGAAGGCGAUUCAAGAUAUCUGUUGUGGUCAGAAUGCAGUGAUUGAAAGAAUUUUAGCUCCGAGAACUGAGUUCACAGUCCAUGCCGUUGUAACCAGCAUCAAAGCAUUUGAAUCUGAAUCUGAUUCUUUGAAUAAUGAUGUGAAAAGAGCAACGGAAAGUAUAAACGGUCCUCAGACAUCUCAAAAACGAUCAAAAGGUCGGAAGCGGAAAUCAAUAUUUUAAAGACUAGGGCUUAUAUUUUGGUUGUUUAUGUACAUAUUUGUUAUAACUCAUAGAAAUAUGGUGUUCUGUGCCAGUGACUGGGUGAAUUUUGUUAGAUAUUACACUCGGUCUCCCUAGCUGCGGUAGGCAAGUGACAAAUUUGAGAUCAUAAAGGGUUCUAUACACCCCCAAAAAAAAAAAAAAAAAAAAAAGGUGCCAGAGUGGGCUUAUGUAGAAUUGCUUGUGUUUCUCAAGCAUACAUUGGAGUGGACAAAAGAAUGAAAAUCAUUACUGCUUAUUGGCAUGGUCUAAUUU
rnacentral:misc_RNA from 1 species